rnacentral:rRNA from 1 species
AUGGCGACGCAGCUGAUGGAUAUCCCCGAGCACCUCCUCCAGGCCGAGAUCUUCCUCCGCCUGCCCGCACCGGAAGACCUCGCCCGCGCCUCCGCCACCUGCGCUACCUUCCGCCGCCUCGUCGCCGACAGAUCCUUCCUCCGCCGCUUCUGCCGCCUCCACGCCCCGCCAUUCCUCGGCUUCCUCGCCCACGGCCGGUUCCACGAAGCCCUCUUGCCCCAUCCCUCCGCGCCCGCCGCCUACAGGCUCACCCUAAAGCUGACUUCACCUUCUCUUUCGUCCCAUCACCCCAUCGUCGCCGGACCGGCCGGUUGUUGGUCCGUUCAGGACAUCCGGCGGCACGGCCGCCUCCGCCUCCGCCAGGCCCCGCGGUUCCUCGCCUCCCCCCACCGCCGCCGGGCCGGCCGUUGGGCCGUUGAGGACAUCCGUGACGGCCGCGUCCUCCUCCGCCACUCCCCCAAUGAUGAUCGUCGUCUAAAAUUCGCAGAGCUCGCGGUGUGUGACCCGUUGCACCGGCGAUACAUCCUGCUUCCCGCAGUGCCUCAAGAGCUUGCCGCUCUGGUGGCGGACCCGGACGUGGUGUACAAUCCCUGGUGCCAUCCUUUCCUCCUUCCCCUCGACGACGAGGAGGAGGAGGAGGAGGAGGAGGAGGGGGACGCGGCGAUGGCAUUCGGAGUGAUCUGGAUGGUACAUUGCCUAAGUAGGGUGGCCGCCUUCGUCUUCUCUUCGAGCAGUGGACGAUGGCAAACUGCGGGUGAGUUCACCAUGAUCUCACUCGUGGACUAUACCUUUUCUAGGCGCCAUUAUGCUUAUGGCUGUUUCUACUGGGAGCUCAACACCAUCAACAAAGAUUUGCUCAUGCUUGACACCGGGAUCCAGAAGACCAAAGGCUUGGAUGCCCAUCUCCACGUCGACCCUCUACGUGAUGCUCAUGACCCAACUCACCGGCGAGCUGCUGCUGAGCCUGGCCAGCAGCUCCCUGAACGGCGCGGCACUUUUGUUGGUGGCGGACACACAAAUCGCUGCAAUGGCAUGCGUGGCAUCGUCUCAAACGGCGGCAGGCCGUCCGGGACGGCCUCAAAGCGGAAGCUAGCGGCGCCGUCCAGUAAGCCAAGGCCGCGGGACCAGAGCAGACGGCGGCGGUUGUACUCAGAGUUGACGAAGGUGAUGCAGAAGCCCUUGGUAUGCAGCUCCUUGGCGAGGUGCCGCAUCAGUGUGACAUGGCCCUGUGCCGGAUGCGGGAUGAGCACAACGACCUCGGGCAGCCGUUGGUUCGGUUUGGAUCUCAUCACACCUUUCUCGAUCUCCGUCCUGGGCACGCAAUGGCAAACGGACGCAGACGACGGAGUGCUAGCAGUCGCUGAUCCGGGGCGCUAUUGUUGGGACCGGAUAGCUCUCUCUCUCUCGCGCGCUCACUCGAACGAAGGUGGAAGGAGGAGACAAACUUUUUUUCUGACGCACAAACGCCUCGGCCGCACGACGGCGCCUCGGCGGCACGAACUGCCUUACUUUACUGGGCACAUACCCGGGCUCGGCAACAGACCACAUCCUAUCCAGAGGAGCUCUCUCUCCUGCCGGCCGACCGGGCGCACACCACGGUCCCGAGAAAGAGACUGGAGAGGGGAGAGCGGAUUCGAGCAUCGUCGGGAAAUCCACUUGAUACUUGGUGUGGCGGACAGCCUGUACGGCCAGAUGGGAACAGGUCGUGUGUUCGAUCAUCUAGGCUCGGCUCAGGGCCUUUUAUACCCGGCUGGUCACACACACGCACACCACCACUACCCAUCUCGCCCGGCUGCACGCGCCAUCCGCAUGCCACACCGGCCGCGGUCAAACGCAUGCCACGGCCUGCUAGGAUCGCCCCGGCUCCUUUGCAACCAACGCCAACAACCUGAUCCUACGGGAUCGACUACGAGGCACACUCAGGCGCACAUGCAGGCCACGAUCCACACCUCACGGACGUGCCCAGCUAGCUGGCUAGCCCAUGCAAAACAACGCACGGACGGCCACACGACGUGCACAGUUGGACGAGGGCUGAGAUCUCACCGGAGAAGGAAACCAACACAGCAGCGCUCCAUCGGUCUAAAAAAAUACGGACUUCUAAUCUCCCGAUUUAGAGCGCUUCGGCUCAAUUCCUUUGUCCGCGAGGCGUCAACUGAUCUGGCAAACCCAAAACACACAAGUUUGGAAGAGAGAAGAGAGAGAAUGGCAGCACAUGCAUGUAGUUUACACCCUCGAUGUAUGCCUCUGCGUGUCGGCCUCGCCAUAUCAAUAUAUAUCGCGCUGGCCAUCCCUGUUGGAGAGUUGAGACGCUUUACGAAUCCUUUCAGUUACGACGUUUGGCGGACGAGCUGUGGAGAGCCUGCUCUGCUGUUUCGGCAUGACCAAACAGGUGUGCGCUUCGGCUCGUCCGCUGCUGCUUCUACUUGCGCCUUGAGCGUCACAGCAUUGCUCGUCUCACCAUGGGACGUGCACGAUGCAAAGGGUCCGCCCCAGGCGAUUGCAUAUAUUGCUUUGGGGAAGCGUCAGAUUGGGCAUGUGUAUGUGAGAAGAGAAGUGAUCAACCACGUGCUCUCUCCUUGUGUCCACAACAAAACAAGAUAA